rnacentral:rRNA from 1 species
CCUACGUGAGGCAGCAGUGAGGAAUAUUGGUCAAUGGGCUUACGCCUGAACCAGCCCAGUCGCGUGAAGGAUGACUGCCCUACGGGUUGUAAACUUCUUUUAUAAAGGAAUAAAGUGAGGCACGUGUGCCUUUUUGUAUGUACUUUAUGAAUAAGGAUCGGCUAACUCCGUGCCAGCAGCCGCGGUAAUACGGAGGAUCCGAGCGUUAUCCGGAUUUAUUGGGUUUAAAGGGAGCGUAGAUGGGUUGUUAAGUCAGUUGUGAAAGUUUGCGGCUCAACCGUAAAAUUGCAAUUGAUACUGGCAGUCUUGAGUACAGUUGAGGUAGGCGGAAUUCGUGGUGUAGCGGUGAAAUGCUUAGAUAUCACGAAGAACUCCGAUUGCGAAGGCAGCUUACUAAACUGCCACUGACAUUGAUGCUCGAAAGUGUGGGUAUCAAACAGGAUUAGAUACCCGAGUAGUC